rnacentral:rRNA from 1 species
AUUGAACGCUGGCGGCAUGCUUUACACAUGCAAGUCGAACGGUAACAGGGUGCUUGCACCGCUGACGAGUGGCGAACGGGUGAGUAAUGCGUCGGAACGUGCCGAGUAGUGGGGGAUAACGCAGCGAAAGUUGUGCUAAUACCGCAUACGUACUGAGGUAGAAAGUGGGGGACCUUCGGGCCUCACGCUAUUCGAGCGGCCGACGUCUGAUUAGCUAGUAGGUGAGGUAAAGGCUCACCUAGGCGACGAUCAGUAGCGGGUCUGAGAGGAUGAUCAGCAACACUGGGACUGAGACACGGCCCAGACUCCUACGGGAGGCAGCAGUGGGGAAUUUUGGACAAUGGGCGAAAGCCUGAUCCAGCCAUGCCGCGUGUCUGAAGAAGGCCUUCGGGUUGUAAAGGACUUUUGUCAGGGAGGAAAUCCCUAGUGCUAAUAACACUGGGGGAUGACAGUACCUGAAGAAUAAGCACCGGCUAACUACGUGCCAGCAGCCGCCGUA